GGUGCGGGAACAACUUUGUAAAGCACCUGAUUGACACCAUGAAUAGAAACAAGCUGUUGGACAUCAUUCCUUCCCAGAACUACCCGGUUACCUGGGGGCCUGAGCACCAGCCCUGGGGCCAGGGAGGAGAAGACAGAGACAGAGGACAAACAGCAGACUCCUACCUCCCAGGCCCAAAAUAGCAGGUUUUCUAACCUAGACCCUGGGAGGCAGAGAACUCCCUGCCUGGGCAGGCCCAGUGUUUGACUGUGAUCCUCAGAAGACCUGAAUUCUGAGAAGCUGGAAACCUCAUGUGGUCCCUUAGACCCUGAGGCUCAGGGUACAGCAAGAACCCUACGAGUCGCAACAGAGGCUUGCGAUGAACAGAUGAAAGGACCAUUUCUUGGGACAGUUCUAGGGGUUCAGGCACAACUGAAGCAGGAAAUCAAGGCAACUCUCUUUGUUGUCCAUGGGGCCAAACCACGGCAAUCUUUACUCUUGUAUCACUGAUUUUUACUUCUACCAGAGAGGUCUACUCUCUGUAUUGCCAAAAAUAUUGGUACAACUGAAACAUAAAAUUAAGAAAGAACCAAUAAAAGUAAAUUUUACAUGCCA